ACUCAAAGGAAUUGACGGGGCUCCGCACAAGCGGAGGAUGAUGUGGUUUAAUACGAUGCUACGCGCAGAACCUUACCAAGGCUUGACAUCCCGAUCGUACACCUAUGAAAGUAGGUGGUCAGUUCGGCUGGAUCGGUGACAGGUGUUGCAUGGCCGUCGUCAGCUCGUGUCGUGAGAUGUUGGGUUAAGUCCCGCAACGAGCGCAACCCUUGUCGUGUGUUGUAUUUUUCACGCGAGACCGCCCGGGCCAACCGGGAGGAAGGUGGGGAUGACGUCAGGUCCGCAUGACCCUUAUGUCUUGGGCUACACACGUCAUACAAUGGCCGGUACAACGGGUCGCUAACCCGCGAGGGGGAGCUAAUCCUAUCAAAACCGGUCCCAGUUCGGAUUGCAGGCUGAAACUCGCCUGCAUGAAGUUGGAUUCGCUAGUAACCGUAGGUCAGCACACUACGGUGAAUACGUUCCCGGAGCUUGUACACACCGCCCGU
rnacentral:rRNA from 1 species